CAGACACAUCUUCUCCCUGCUAAAGUCAAAGCAGUAACGAUUCAGUGGAAAAAAUGAGGAUCUGUCAGGAGAAAUGCUGGUGACACAUGGAAGAAAGCAGACGUGCACCUAAAUCAGGUUGGUCUGUAUUUCAGAGGCUUGACCUGCUUACCUGAGUUGUGGACCAGUUGUCCCUGUACAGAGGACUGAAGGCUAAAGUUCCCACUGCCCCUGAAG